rnacentral:rRNA from 1 species
AUUGAACGCUGGCGGCAGGCCUAACACAUGCAAGUCGAACGAGUGGCGGAAGGGUGAGUAAUGGCUGGGAAACUGCCCGAUGGAGGGGGAUAACUACUGGCAACGGUAGCUAUUACCGCAUACCAUCGGAUGUGCCCAGAUGGGAUUAGCUAGUAGGUGGGGGAACGGCGCACCUAGGCGACGAUCCCUAGCUGGUCUGAGAGGAUGACCAUCCACACUGGAACGGAGACACGGUCCAGACUCCUACGGGAGACAGCAGUGGGGAAUAUUGCACAAUGGGCUCAAGCCUGAUGCAGCCAUGCAGCGUGUAUGAAGAAGGCCUUCGGGUUGUAAAGUACUUUCAGCGAGGAGGCGUUACUCGCAGAAGAAGCACCGGCUAACUCCGUGCCAGCAGCCGCGGUAAUUC